CAGCCGCCGCGGUAAAACCAGCACCUCGAGUGGUCAGGAGGUUUAUUGGGCCUAAAGCAUCCGUAGCCGGUUGCAUAAGUUUUCGGUUAAAUCUAUGCGCUUAGCGUAUAGGCCGCCGAAAAUACUGUGCAGCUAGGGAGUGGGAGAGGUACACGGUACUCGAUAGGAAGGGGUAAAAUCCUUUGAUCUAUUGAUGACCACCUGUGGCGAAGGCGGUGUACCAGAACACGUUCGACGGUGAGGGAUGAAAGCUGGGGGAGCAAACCGGAUUAGAUACCCGGGUAGUCCCAGCUGUAAACGAUGCAGACUCGGUGAUGCAUUGGCUUGUGGCCAAUGCAGUGCCGCAGGGAAGCCGUUAAGUCUGCCGCCUGGGAAGUACGUACGCAAGUAUGAAACUUAAAGGAAUUGGCGGGGGAGCAC
rnacentral:rRNA from 2 species